UAACCGCAGCUGAGAAGUUGCGCUGAAUUCGCAGGGGUCAGCAGAGACCAUAGUACGGAAGUAUGGGACGCCGGAAACCGGAAGGGC
rnacentral:ncRNA from 1 species